ensembl:lncRNA
GUUCCUGUGUCUCGGUGUUCCUCGGUGUUCCUGUGUUCCUGUUUCCUCUCUGUUCCCGUGUCUCGGCGCAGGGAUGGUCAUUGUUAAACUUUGGCAGGCGCCGCGGCCAGUUUUAACUUUCUCACAAGGAAAUUGAUCUGGUCUACCACAAGCCGUUUGGCAAGCUCGUUUACAGCUGUGUAUCUCAGAACUUUCCGGAUCAUGUGGGGAGACGAGUUGGACUGAGAUCUGCGUCGUCUCCGCCAAAAAAAAAGGCCAGACUCUCACCAGGCAACCCGGAGAACCACUGGAGAACAGAAAAGAACAUUGACUUGAUUUGCAUAUAUUUCAGUAUAACAUGGUUUAGUAUGAGCAGGUUUCAGUAUAACCUGGUUUAGUAUGGGCAGGUUUCAGUGUAACCUGGUUUAGUAUGAGCAGGUUUCAGUAUAACCUGGUUUAGUAUGAGCAGGUUUCAGUAUAACCAGGUUUAGUAUGAGCAGGUUUCAGUAUAACCUGGUUUAGUAUGAGCAGGUUUAGUAUGAGCAGGUUUAGUAUGAGCAGGCUGUGGCAUGAGCAGA